rnacentral:rRNA from 1 species
GACGAACCGUGCGAACGUUGUUCGGAAUCACUGGGCUUAAAGGGCGCGUAGGCGGGCUGUCAAGUCUGGGGUGAAAUGCCGCGGCUCAACCGUGGAACUGCCUCAGAUACUGACGGCCUCGAGGAAGGUAGGGGCAUGCGGAACUGUAGGUGGAGCGGUGAAAUGCGUUGAUAUCUACAGGAACUCCGGUGGCGAAAGCGGCGUGCUGGACCUUUUCCGACGCUGAGGCGCGAAAAGCUAGGGGAGCAACGGGG